UACGAAGGGGGCUAGCGUUGUUCGGAAUUACUGGGCGUAAAGGGCGCGUAGGCGGCCCUCCAAGUCAGAUGUGAAAGCCCCGGGCUUAACCUGGGAAUUGCAUUUGAGACUGAAGGGCUUGAGUUUCGGAGAGGUGGGUGGAAUUCCCAGUGUAGAGGUGAAAUUCGUAGAGAUUGGGAAGAACACCGGUGGCGAAGGCGGCCCACUGGACGAACACUGACGCUGAGGCGCGAAAGCGUGGGGAGCAAACAGG
rnacentral:rRNA from 1 species